rnacentral:rRNA from 1 species
AGCGAACGCUGGCGGCAGGCUUAACACAUGCAAGUCGAGCGGGCGUAGCAAUACGUCAGCGGCAGACGGGUGAGUAACGCGUGGGAACGUACCUUUUGGUUCGGAACAACCCAGGGAAACUUGGGCUAAUACCGGAUAAGCCCUUACGGGGAAAGAUUUAUCGCCAAAAGAUCGGCCCGCGUCUGAUUAGCUUGUUGGUGAGGUAACGGCUCACCAAGGCGACGAUCAGUAGCUGGUCUGAGAGGAUGAUCAGCCACAUUGGGACUGAGACACGGCCCAAACUCCUACGGGAGGCAGCAGUGGGGAAUAUUGGACAAUGGGCGCAAGCCUGAUCCAGCCAUGCCGCGUGAGUGAUGAAGGCCCUAGGGUUGUAAAGCUCUUUUGUGCGGGAAGAUAAUGACUGUACCGCAAGAAUAAGCCCCGGCUAACUUCGUGCCAGCCGCCGCCGUAAG